UGAGGAAUGUUGCGCAAUGGGGGAAACCCUGACGCAGCAACGCCGCGUGCGGGAUGAAGGCCUUUUAGGUCGUAAACCGCUGUAGCAGGGAAAAAAUAUCCCGUUCGACGGGAUUGAUGGUACCCUGAAAGUAAGCCUCGGCUAACUACGUGCCAGCAGCCGCGGUAAUACGUAGGAGGCAAGCGUUGUCCGGAUUUACUGGGUGUAAAGGGUCCGCAGGCGGACAAGUAAGUCGGGGGUGAAAUCCUGCAGCUUAACUGCAGAACUGCCUUCGAUACUGCCUGUCUUGAAUACGGGAAAGGUGACGGAAUUCCAGGUGUAGCGGUGAAAUGCUUAGAUAUCUGGAAGAACACCGGUUGCGAAGGCUGUUGCCUGGCCCGUUAUUGACGCUCAGGGCGAA
rnacentral:rRNA from 1 species